UAAAAUAACUUCAGUGCUCCAUGAUGGCACAAGAGCCAGGAGGCUGAACAACCCUGAACAAAUCACACGGCCCCUCAGUGCUGAGCACAAUCACUUGAUUAAUGACUGAAGUAGCUGUCAGAAAGCCUCUGAGAGGGUUUUGGCAGAGGUACAGUCCACAGACACAAUCCAUUAAACUGAGACGAAACAGCAUUUAAUUAAACACAAAGAUGAAAUAACAUGGAUAAAAUAGGACACGAGUCCCGUUGGUGGUUUGCUAAUCAGGCAUAAAGGAUGGGAGGGAGAAGAGGAAGAGAAAGAGGUCGAGUCAGCUGUGAAGUGACCAUCAGGUUAUGUAAAUGCAGACUAAAGGCAGCGAGGACACCACGCUUUGGGAGCUGGAAAAAAAUAUGCGUCACCAUUCAAAAUCAAUUUCUAUCGAUCUUCUGCAGUGGCAUUACCAUCCAAUACCCACUGAGAGUCAAAGGGGCUCCAACCUGGCUGCACUCCCAAGAUCAAAACAUCCCUCAGACAAACAUCAAUACGUCUGUUUAUAUCCACUGCUGUGAAAGCCAGACUUUCAUCAGUGCUCUUGUCACUUCCCUGGCUAUCACAGAAUAUCCCGGAGUCUUUAAUAAAGGUUCA